UCUGGACAAUGGGGGAAACCCCGAUCCAGCCAACCCGCGGGUAUGAAGAAGGCCCUCGGGUUGGAAAGUACCUUUGGCCGAGAAGAAAAGGUAUCCCCUAAUACGGGAUACUGCUGACGGGAUCUGCAGCAUAAGCACCGGCCAACCACGUGCCAGCAGCCGCGGUAAUACGUAGGGUGCAAGCGUUACUCGGAAUUACUGGGCGUAAAGCGUGUGUAGGCGGUUCGGAAAGAAAGAUGUGAAAGCCCAGGGCUCAACCUUGGAACUGCAUUUUUAACUGCCGGGCUAGAGUAUGUGAGAGGGGGGUAGAAUUCCACGUGUAGGAGUGAAAUGCGUAGGUAUGUGGAGGAAUACCGAUGGCGAAGGCAGCCCCCUGGGAUAAUACUGACGCUCAGACACGAAAGCGUGGGGAGCAAACAGG
rnacentral:rRNA from 1 species